GGAGAUGAUUAUUGGGUUUUCAGCCUUGUGUACCCACAUUAACCCCACAUUGGUAGAUAAUAAUAUUGUGUGUUGAACUCCCUCACGUUUCUUGUAGAUUUAUGCCACCUGCUGGAUACUCUGAUAGAUUACACAAAGACUAUUAUGCAACCUCCUACGGUCUGGAAAGUUUGCUCUCUUCCCCAGUUAGGAUUAAAAUGGAGUCUUUGUGACACUAAUGUAAUGAGAAUACAUAUGCUGUACUGAUUUUGAAAUGAGGAUUAGAGGUGAUACGGUAGCAAGAGCUUCUUUUAUUAUGUUCUUGUUAAUUUUUAUGCACCAGUUCCUGCAGCAAUUUAUGACAGAAAUGUGAAGAAAAACACAAAAAUUCAGCAGCAGCAACAAACUUUAAAUUUCACAAAAGUUUCAUAUUGUGGAAUACAUUUCAGAGAUGUUUAAUCUGAAAAGCUAGAGAAAUGAAACAUAGAUACAGAGUUUCAGCCAGCUGAGGCAGACACACCCUUGUGUUUGUUGUAGCGUGUCACUCUCACAUGGGUGCAGCAGGAACUUUCACUUCACCACGAGAACAUAACUCAUCUAAACACACUUUCCCAGUCUUGGCGCAUGUUUAGUGCACAUGUACACCCUGAUUUCCACCGUGGAUGACAGUGUUUGUCACCUUUUUUGUUGUCAAAAUCCGUAUUUUGCCACCCUAGAUGAUUUAAGAUCAAGCCGCCUACAGAAAGAAGCUGAUCACUCAUCCCAGAAGCCAUUGCCUAUAUAGAAAUGGAAACUCCUUCUUGACAUCAACCACAGCGGUUUGGAGCCACCACCAACUUACUAUAGUUCAAUGUGGAGGCCAAGUGGCCUGGGUCUGUUCAUGACUGGAGGAUUUAUCAUGAGUCUAACAUGAGCAACAGACUGCAACGUGGAGAGUUUGAUGGCCUUCUGCUGGGUGACAGGGGUUACCAUGCCAACCCAGGCUGAUGACCUCAUACCCUGACCCUGAACCAGGCUCACUGCAGGAUGAGAGCCUGGGUGGAGAUGACCAUAGACCUGCUGAAAGCCCAUCUCCAGUACCUACAUCACCUCAGGGUGACUCCUGGGAGGACCUGUGAUAAUAUUCAUAAUACUGCCACUGUAGCUGACACUGUUUAAGAGUCUUUAGGUUGCCAUGGCAAUACAGGAAGGUGGUCAUUUACACCCAAGUAAAUUUUAUUUUGGAAAGCAGUAUUAAAAUAUUUGUCCUGUGGUACCUUUGAUCAUUUUGGUCUGGUAAAAUGCAUUACUUUUAGUCUAGUUUUUCGUUUGGUUUAUGGUCCUGGUUGAUAAAGUUGUAGCAGUUGUCAUGUGACUUACGCCACAGAUGUGAGAUGCAGCAUGGGAUAGAUACAGAUCAGGCAGGUUCUUCAGCCAGUUUUACAGUCCGUCUGCCUUUAAUUUCUGUUGGUCAUCCAGGCAAACGGUAAUUAUUAAUACAUUUCAGAGAACUGUAUAUUUGUUUAGACAGAGACAAAGGUAUUUGUUUCUUUUUCAUUUCAUGACUUGAAUAUGAGAUUAUCUUUGUAGUUUUCACAGUGUACCACCAAAUGAUAUGUUUGAGAAGAAUAAACCUUUUGUGGACAUCAGUACAAAGUAUGGACUCUUUCACUGACCAGCAGUUACAGCCACUAUUAGAGGAGAGCAACACUCUGCCCUACAAACUGAAGACCCAGAUGAUGACCUCAUCCACCUGCCAGCUAUCCAAGAUAACAGAGCAGUCAGAGACACCAUAUGCAAUAAUCACUGCAGAGUUUAAGUCUCCAUCAUCACCACCACAGCAGU